rnacentral:rRNA from 1 species
UACGAAGGGGGCUAGCGUUGUUCGGAAUCACUGGGCGUAAAGGGCGCGUAGGCGGCUUUGUAAGUUAGAGGUGAAAGCCCGGAGCUCAACUCCGGAAUUGCCUUUAAGACUGCAUCGCUAGAAUCAUGGAGAGGUUAGUGGAAUUCCGAGUGUAGAGGUGAAAUUCGUAGAUAUUCGGAAGAACACCAGUGGCGAAGGCGACUAACUGGACAUGUAUUGACGCUGAGGUGCGAAAGCGUGGGGAGCAAACAGG